AGGAUUGUAAUUUUAAAUAAAAUAUUUGAUUUGCAUUCAAAAAAUAUUGAUAUAAUCAAUCUAUCUUA
rnacentral:tRNA from 1 species